rnacentral:vault_RNA from 1 species
GUGUUGGCUUAGUCGAGUGGUUACUUCGCUUUGAAUUGGUACAAACUUCAACUGUCACUUGAAACUUAACGGGUUCGAAUCCCGUGGAAACCACUGACACAGUCCAGCAUUUUU